rnacentral:rRNA from 1 species
UGCCAGCAGCCGCGGUAACACGGGGGGCGCAAGCGUUAUUCGGAAUUAUUGGGCGUAAAGGGCGCGCAGGCGGUCUUGUCCGUCAGGUGUGAAAGCCCUGGGCUCAACCCAGGAAGUGCGCCGAAAACCAAUUAGCUUGAGAAUCGGAGGGGAGUGUGGAAUUCCUAGUGUAGAGGUGAAAUUCGUAGAUAUUAGGAGGAACACCGGUGGCGAAGGCGACACUCUGGACGAUUUCUGACACUGAGACGCGACAGCGUGGGUAGCAAACAGGAUUAGAUA